UGGGGAAUAUUGCACAAUGGAGGGAACUCUGAUGCAGCGACGCCGCGUGAGUGAUGAAGGAAUUCGUUCCGUAAAACUCUGUUCUAUGGGAAGAAAAGGACUGUACCAUAGGAGAAAGCUCCGGCUAAAUACGUGCCAGCAGCCGCGGUAAUACGUAUGGAGCGAGCGUUGUCCGGAAUUAUUGGGCGUAAAGGGUGCGCAGGCGGCUUUACAAGUUGGAUGUGAAAUAUUGUGGCUCAACCACAAACGUGCAUCCAAAACUGCAAAGCUUGAGUUAAGGAGAGGUAAGUGGAAUUCCUGGUGUAGCGGUGGAAUGCGUAGAUAUCAGGAGGAAUACCGGUGGCGAAGGCGACUUACUGGACUUAAACUGACGCUCAGGCACGAAAGCGUGGGGAGCAAACAGG
rnacentral:rRNA from 1 species